rnacentral:rRNA from 1 species
UACAGGGGGGGCAAGCGUUGUUCGGAAUUACUGGGCGUAAAGGGUUCGUAGGUGGCCACUUAAGUCAGACGUGAAAUCCCUCAGCUUAACUGGGGAACUGCGUCUGAUACUGGGUGGCUUGAGUGCAGGAGAGGAAUGCGGAAUUCCAGGUGUAGCGGUGAAAUGCGUAGAUAUCGGGAGGAACACCAAUGGCGAAGGCAGCUCGCUGGGACGGUACUGGCGCUGAGACGCGAAAGCGUGGGGAGCAAACAGG